rnacentral:rRNA from 1 species
UGGCUCAGAACGAACGCUGGCGGCAAGCUUAACACAUGCAAGUCGAACGGACCAAAUCUGUAGCUUGCUACGGAUUUGGUUAGUGGCAGACGGGUGAGUAAUGCAUAGGAAUCUACCUAGUAGUAUGGGAUAGCCACUGGAAAUGGUGGGUAAUACCGUAUAAUCCCCGCGGGGGAAAGAUUUAUCGCUAUUAGAUGAGCCUAUGUCGGAUUAGCUAGUUGGUGGGGUAAUGGCCUACCAAGGCAGUGAUCUGUAGCUGGUCUGAGAGGAUGAUCAGCCACACUGGAACUGAGACACGGUCCAGACUCCUACGGGAGGCAGCAGUGGGGAAUAUUGGACAAUGGGCGCAAGCCUGAUCCAGCUAUGCCGCGUGAGUGAGGAAG